rnacentral:rRNA from 1 species
AGUGAACGCUGGCGGUAGGCCUAACACAUGCAAGUCGAACGGCAGCACAGUAAGAGCUUGCUCUUACGGGUGGCGAGUGGCGGACGGGUGAGGAAUACAUCGGAAUCUACUUUUUCGUGGGGGAUAACGUAGGGAAACUUACGCUAAUACCGCAUACGACCUACGGGUGAAAGCAGGGGCUCUUCGGACCUUGCGCGAUUGAAUGAGCCGAUGUCGGAUUAGCUAGUUGGCGGGGUAAAGGCCCACCAAGGCGACGAUCCGUAGCUGGUCUGAGAGGAGGAUCAGCCACACUGGAACUGAGACACGGUCCAGACUCCUACGGGAGGCAGCAGUGGGGAAUAUUGGACAAUGGGCGCAAGCCUGAUCCAGCCAUACCGCGUGGGUGAAGAAGGCCUUCGGGUUGUAAAGCCCUUUUGUUGGGAAAGAAAAGCAGCAGGUUAAUACCCCGCUGUUCUGACGGUACCCAAAGAAUAAGCACCGGCUAACUUCGUG